UGUAUAAGAGACAGCAGCCGCCGCGGUAAUACGUAGGUCCCGAGCGUUGUCCGGAUUUAUUGGGCGUAAAGCGAGCGCAGGCGGUUAGAUAAGUCUGAAGUUAAAGGCUGUGGCUUAACCAUAGUACGCUUUGGAAACUGUUUAACUUGAGUGCAAGAGGGGAGAGGGGAAUUCCAUGUGUAGCGGUGAAAUGCGUAGAUAUAUGGAGGAACACCGGUGGCGAAAGCGGCUCUCUGGCUUGUAACUGACGCUGAGGCUCGAAAGCGUGGGGCGCAAACAGGAUUAGAUACCCCCGUAGUCCCUGUCUCUUAUACA
rnacentral:rRNA from 1 species